AUUGAACGCUGGCGGCAUGCUUUACACAUGCAAGUCGAACGGUAACAGGCCGCUAGGUGCUGACGAGUGGCGAACGGGUGAGUAAUGCACCGGAACGUGCCCAGUCGUGGGGGAUAACUACUCGAAAGAGUAGCUAAUAUCGCAUACGAUCUAUGGAUGAAAGCGGGGGACCGUAAGGCCUCGCGCGAUUGGAGCGGCCGAUGUCAGAUUAGGUAGUUGGUGGGGUAAAGGCUCACCAAGCCCACGAUCUGUAGCUGGUCUGAGAGGACAACCAGCCACACUGGGACUGAGACACGGCCCAGACUCCUACGGGAGGCAGCAGUGGGGAAUUUUGGACAAUGGGCGCAAGCCUGAUCCAGCAAUGCCGCGUGCAGGAAGAAGGCCUUCGGGUUGUAAACUGCUUUUGUACGGAACGAAACGGCUCUGGUUAAUACCCGGGGCUAAUGACGGUACCGUAAGAAUAAGCACCGGCUAACUACGUG
rnacentral:rRNA from 1 species